ACAGUUGAUCACAGCGAAUUGCAGUUAAUUACAAAUUAAAAGAAAGAGAAUGGAGCAAAAAUAAUCUCAAUAAAGUUUGAGUUCUCCUCGCUGUAUAAAAUUCAGCGAACAAACGAGGUUCAAGUGGCGAACAGAGGGGCGUGCAAUGUGAAGCGAUUGCAUCAUUCUCUGACCUGGUAGCCUCCGUGCAUCACCGUAAUUUUCAGCUACAUUCAGCGACGAUAAGCUCAAUGAUUGCGCAACAAUCAUCACUCGCCGAGUUAUUUCCCUUUAAAUGCGAUUCUUGUUGGAGAUAAAUGAAUAACAAGCAACCAUGAUUGUCAGUCUUUUGGGAUUAUCUCUUACCGAGAUGGAAUAAGCCAGCAUCAGAAUAAGCUUUAAUAUUUCACAGUCAAUGAAGUUCAAAAUUCUUUCAAAUGAUUCCACAUUUAAAGAAUCUUCUGAAGCGUGUUAGUGGCUUGGAGUUCUUUCAUUCAUGUGCGAUACAGUCUCUAUCAUGAAUAAUGAAAGUAAUAAUGACAAAACGAUAGCAAUCAAUCAAUUGGAAAUGAAGGUAAAAGUGAUCACAAUCCCACUAACGAGAUAAUAAUUGUGGCAGCGAUUACCUGAAACAACUUGCAUCCAAGCGCACAGGUAGAACACGGUUGUACUCUGACAGAAGAAGAAGAGAAGCAUCGCGCAAAUGGUGAGCAAAGCGAUUAUGACAGCGAUGCCGACUAGAAUGGUGCUCGCUCUGAACGGAAUGUUGGCGAUCGUCGACAGGUCGUCCAAUUUGCCUAUACAUUCCUCGCCCAAUUCACCUGAAGGAGGAAUCCGUGGAGUGAGAAACCCAGUAAUGGGAAAAGUUCGAUGAGAACUUGAUAUUUAAAAAGUAAAAA